GCUGCUUUAGCUCAGCUGGUAGAGCAACUGAUUUGUAAUCAGUAGGUCCGCGGUUCAACUCCGUGAAGCAGCACCA
rnacentral:tRNA from 3 species